rnacentral:rRNA from 1 species
UGGGGAAUAUUGGGCAAUGGGCGAAAGCCUGACCCAGCAAUGCCGCGUGUGUGAAGAAGGUCUUCGGAUUGUAAAGCACUUUCGGCGGGGACGAUGAUGACGGUACCCGCAGAAGAAGCCCCGGCUAACUUCGUGCCAGCAGCCGCGGUAAUACGAAGGGGGCUAGCGUUGCUCGGAAUUACUGGGCGUAAAGGGCGCGUAGGCGGCACGGACAGUCAGGCGUGAAAUUCCUGGGCUCAACCUGGGGGCUGCGCUUGAUACGUCCGAGCUAGAGGACAGGAGAGGCUCGUGGAAUUCCCAGUGUAGAGGUGAAAUUCGUAGAUAUUGGGAAGAACACCGGUGGCGAAGGCGGCGAGCUGGCCUGUAUCUGACGCUGAGGCGCGACAGCGUGGGGAGCAAACAG